UACGGAGGGUGCGAGCGUUGUCCGGAAUCACUGGGCGUAAAGGGCGCGUAGGCGGCUUCUCAAGCGUGUGGUGAAAGUCCGGGGCUCAACCCCGGAUCGGCCGUGCGGACUGGGGAGCUCGAGUUCUGUAGAGGCGGGUGGAAUUCCGGGUGUAGCGGUGGAAUGCGUAGAGAUCCGGAAGAACACCCGUGGCGAAGGCGGCUCUCUGGGACGGUACUGACGCUGAGACGCGAAAGCGUGGGGAGCGAACAGG
rnacentral:rRNA from 1 species